AACGCACAUUGCGCCCUUUGGUAUUCCGAAGGGCAUGCCUGUUCGAGCGUCAUUAUCACCCCUCAAGCCCCUCGGGCUUGGUGUUGGACGGUUUGGCGGAGUGCUUUGCGGCCUCUGCCCCUCCCAAAGACAAUGACGGCGGCCUCGUUGGACCCCCGGUACACUGAGUUCUUCACGGGACACGUACUGGACACAAGGGUCCACGGGCAACGGUCUACCUCCCCUCACAGGGAGAAACUUUUCUCAAGGUUGACCUCGGAUCAGGUAGGGAUACCCGCUGAACUUAA
rnacentral:misc_RNA from 1 species